AUUGAACGCUAGCGGGAUGCUUUACACAUGCAAGUAGAACGAGUGGCGGACGGGUGAGUAAUGUCUGGGAAACUGCCUGAUGGAGGGGGAUAACUACUGGAAACGGUAGCUAAUACCGCAUACCAUCGGAUGUGCCCAGAUGGGAUUAGCUAGUAGGUGGGGUAAAGGCUCACCUAGGCGACGAUCCCUAGCUGGUCUGAGAGGAUGACCAGCCACACUGGAACUUAGACACGGUCCAGACUCCUACGGGAGGCAGCAGUGGGGAAUUUUGGACCAUGGGGGACAGCCUGAUCCAGCCAUCCCGCGUGUAUGAUGAAGGCCUUCGGGUUGUAAAGUACUUUUGGCAGAGAAGCGGUAUCUGCAGAAUAAGCACCGGCUAACUCCGUGCCAGCAGCCGCGGUAAUAC
rnacentral:rRNA from 1 species